CUUUGGCACAUGCAUAGAUCCUUUAACUAUCAUGUGUUAGAUGGAUUUUGAUUGCAGGAUUUUUGAUGAACAGAUCUGUAGUUGCAACAUUUUGGCAUGAUGGAACCUUGAUGAGGAUGAUUCAAGAACAAAGGAAGUCUUUCGCAAGGUAGGAAGGACCAUGGGCUUCAUGAGUCGAAGUGACUUCUUGUGAAACAAAGACUCCUAGUAGGGAGAAAUAAGGGCUGGCACAAAUUGAUUCAGUAUCAUAAGGACAAUAUUUUAGCAUGCAUGAAUUGCAAAAUUACAACAAUUUUAUUUGUAUUACAGAAAACUAGAGGUAUGGCCUACUGCAACUGGACUAGCUGAAAGUGCAGGAUUUUAUCCUAAUGAAUGCAAUUUGAACAUAAGGAGAAAAACAAGAAUUAGUAAAAUAAUUUUAUCACUUGUUUAUCUUAUCAUAUAUCUUUUCAUCACAUGUUCUAACAAGUUUUUUAAUGAAACAAUAUUUUCAAGAAUAGUGUUAUGGCAACAAGGAACUCUCAAACACAAGAAAAAGGUUACAAAGCAACUCUGCAGCUCUCCCUCUCCCUGCCAAGCGAUAGGAAAGUUCAAUAUCUUCUCCGAAACUCUAAAAUUACAAGCACAAUAUACCCAUCUCCUUGAACUGAUACAUGGUCUUGCGCCCUGCAUUGUGGACCUUAAGCUCCCCAUUCAAUUCAUUGGAUGGUAUAAAGGCAUGGAAUAACAUGACCAGGGAAGAAUAAAACUUCCUCCUUAUGAAAAUAUCACAUCUUGACAACUUUGUUGUAGUUUUCUUGUAGAACAAAAUUUGCAUCGACAAGUGAUAAAAGACAAAUGGUUCCAAAUUUUGAUUAUCAUUUUGAUACAAAAAAUGAACACUCUUUAUGAAUUCUCCUAAUCCUAAUCCACAACUAAUAUGUAAAAGUCUAAGAGCAAAGUUAUAGCCAAAGAUCAUUGGCAAUAGUAAUAGGAGUCAAAAGAAAGUUCCACCAAAAUC
rnacentral:lncRNA from 1 species